rnacentral:rRNA from 1 species
GACGAACGCUGGCGGCGUGCCUAAUACAUGCAAGUCGAACGCAGUGGGGACGGGUGCGUAACACGUGGGUAACCUCCCAUCAGAGGGGAUAACACUUGGCAACAGCUGCUAAACCGAUACUGCUGGAUGGACCCGGGGUGCCUUAGCUAGUUGUUGAGGUAACGGCUCACCAAGUCCACGAGGCAUAGCUGACCUGAGAGUGUGAUCGGCCAAACAGGAACUGAGACACGGCCCAGACUCCUACGGGAGGCAGCAGUAGGGAAUCUUCGGCAAUGGACGAAAGUCUGACGGAGCAAUGCCGCGUGAGUGAAGAAGGUUUUCGGCUCGUAAAGCGCUGUUGUUAGGGAAGCGGUAUGUACCCAGAAAGCAACGGCUAACUACGUGCCAGCAGCCGCGGUAAUAC